UACCCCCCCAGCACCCCACAUUUUGCGCCUCCAUCACGAAAAGUGCCCCAUUUCCGUGCCCCUGUCACGAACCCAUAGAUUAAGGUGGGUUUCGUAAUGUCACCAUGAACUGCCAUGAGACUGGGUUGGAAAAUGUGACUUUUAAGCCACACUUUUAAUGCAACACAAAAACCUAGUCAGCAAGUAUGAUUACUUUUUUGGAGCUUCAUAAUACGUAACAGGAAUGUCAGCAAAAGCCAAGCAUGAAAAUGCUCAGUAGUUCUCUAAUUCUGUUUGACAUGCUGAAAAAAAUGCAUUCCCAGUCUUACUGUGGUUUACAGUGUAUAUGAAACAUGUGGAGACAAGCGAUAGAGAAUUCCUCCACAGAGAAAGCAUGUGUGUGCCCUGGCUUUUCCAUUAACAAUUCAUUUAUCAAUAGUCCAAGUGGCAAAGAGGCUAAUGAGCCAUAGCUUCAAUAACAAAUUAACAGAACAGGUUAUAAAUGUGACAUUUUAAUAUAAUUUAUU